CUCUGACCUGUGCGCGGGUGCUGGCAGCCUUGCCGCUCGCUGUGCCAGUGCCCCGCAGGCUCUUUGGCAGUCCAGCAUAGUGGACUACUACGAGGUGCUGGGAGUACCCCGGUAGGCCUCGUCCGAGGGUAUCAAGAAGGCGUACCGCAAGCUGGCGCUCAAGUGGCACCCCGACAAAAACCCCGAGGACAGGGAGGAAGCGGAUUUCGUUCCUUUGGCUCCCUGGGAAGUGGGGGCCUUUCUUCCUUCUGCAUGUCCUACGGUAGUGAUGGGACAGGCAGCUUCAAGUCCAUGUCGACUUCCACUGAAAUAGUUGAUGGUAAAAAAAUCACCACCAAGAGAAUCAUUGAGAAUGGCCAAGAAAGGGUGGAAGUGGAGGAAGAUGGAGAGUUGAGUUAAAGUCCUUCAUAAUAAACGGCAUAGAGCAGUUGCUCCCCAUUGACACCAAGUAAUUCCAGUCCACAUUUGCCUUUAAGCACAUCUGGAGGAAUAGCGGACUUUUUUUAGGAUUGAAAGUGAACUUUACUUUCAGAACAGCUGUACCCAAGAAUUUAUAAACACUUUAUGCCAAUGCCUGUCUUUAUUGUUGGGACUGCACGGAUAGGACCUCUGUUUGUCUUUCGAUCAUUGUAAAUAUCUGUAUGCAAUUUGCUAUUUAUUAAACUUAAGCCUGAGGCAGACAAUGAUUA
ensembl:lncRNA novel transcript